AUGGACAUUGUCAUAAUGGUCACCUUACGGCAGUGUAUUAUUUUUGGAUCUCGUAUUCCUCAAGGCGCUCCAUCCGCUGAUUCGAUGUCGGCCAACCUGAGAAAUAAUAGGAGCAAUAAUCCAGCAGAAGAAUUUGGUGAAGAAGAACAAGAAAAGAAUACCUUUAUCCUGAUAGGCAUGGAAACACCGGUUCGCAUUGAGUGCAUCAUCGCUAAUCAGCUACUAUGUAUGAUCAGCGGACAUGCGUGCUUAUUCCUUAGAGAGCAAGGGACAUAUAAGAAAUCUCCAGGCAGCUUCGCUUAG
rnacentral:rRNA from 1 species